AAUAAAAAGGAAAAAAGAAUACAAGGGACUAUGAUGACUAUUUAAUAUCAUCUAAACAAGUCGAACUCCUACACUACUCACUUAUAACCGAGUCUAUUGCAUUCGUCCUUCUAGCCCGGUCUUAAAUUAUCUGUGGAAACGUUCAAUGAGUCCGUUGGACUCUAGAUGUGUGUUCUUGCUUGCAAUUCUAAGUGUCCUGCAAAACACCCAUCCAUAAUGAACUUGAGAACUACGUUUCUCGGUCAGACACAAUGGUUUCUGGAACUCCAAACCUCGAAAGCCAACCACUCAAAAAAUUAUUGAUUAUUGUCUUGGAUUAUGUCUACGUGAAUAAAGGAAAGUCUUUCAGAUGGAGGAUCGAAAGACGACGUUAGUUUUGAUGCCCUGAAAGGUUUGGUUUUCUGACACGCUAAACACUCUCUAGUGAAGUUUCUGACGUUGCUCGCAAAUUAGGUCAAACAUAAAAAAGUGACACCCUCCUUAACGUUUCUUUGAAUCCCGGAUGAUUGACCUUUGUGUACAGAAUGCACGAUUCUUUGACGCAAUUCUGGAGAUGACACAGCCACACGGAAUGCGUCAGUAUUGCCAAAACCUGCAAGUUUAGUAAAUUUAGUAAGCGGACGAGUCUUCAACAGCGGAAAUAUGUGAAUUGCUAAGUUCUUUGGCUGACACACAUAUUUGCUUAAACUCUUCAACAGAAUGGGACUGUGCUCUGAAGUACCCUUGUUGGUUUAUAGACACAUUUCUGAUGAGGUCCUCCCGUAGUAAAUGAUGACGCAAAUCAUGGAUGUAUUCCUCAUUAAGUAGACACUCAACUUCAUCUAUAACUUCCCUAGGGGAAAAUCCAUAAGAUAAAUCGCACAGCAUAUCAGAAUUUUUUUAAAUUCUAUCUGAAGGUCCUUUUUUUUAAUAGGAAUAGAUCUAAAAACUUCACCAGGUAAUUUUGAAGUCAUUAAAACAUUAUUUGGUCUGAUCUUCAUUGAUCUUCCUCAUCAAAAAAUCCAGCUCAAUUCUUCGAAACCAAUUUUCCGGAUCCAUUGACGAGAAUUUUGGAAGACGUAGUUCUGCUACGACAAGAGUUAAGUUGCUGACCUCUUCCGCUACGUACUAUUUUUUGAUCUGAGGAACAUUGUCCGCAUGGUCUUGACCAUCAGAAUGAGAUUUUUGGGAGGCAUGAUAUCACGUUGGGGUCACCAAUGUUAAUAUUUAAAUAUCUUUAUUUUAACUCAGUAGAAAUGAUCAUUCCUUUAUACGAAAAUUAAAAGGAAAAAAAAUACAAGGUACAAUGAUGAAUAUUUAAUAUCAUCUAAACAAGUCAAACUUCUACAAAUAUAUCUUUCCAUUGACGCCUAAUAACUUCGGAAUGUCAGAUACUCCCGCUAGAAUAAUAUAUUAGACAUCUUUAAAAUCUACAUAUAUUUUUCAUCAAUCAU
rnacentral:lncRNA from 1 species